CAAAAACAGCCACACACACAAGUGACUGGGACCAAAUACAGAGAGUAAACGUCACAGUCAUUGUGCCUCUAUAUAAAGAGAUACUUUACAGCACAAUGUUGCAAGCUCACAUCAUUGUACCACCUAACGGACUUGGACUUGAUUGGAUUUUGUCUGCAAGUUUAGAGAAGUUGGCAUCUUUGCACCAGUCCGAUUAAAAGAUGGGG